GAAGGCAGAACAAACCUUCCUUCCCUGUACUAUCAGGAAUUGGUUUCAGCACUGAGAAAAGUUACCAGAAUGGACUUGAAUUUGGCAACUUGGCAACAGAUUAGUCAACCUGAUCCUUGGAAAUCAGACUCACCAAACUCUCGAGUGUUUUAGUUCCUGUUACUAUACACUUUCUGCAUAGUCCGGUUGCCGCAGACCACCCAGGGGAGUGUGUCAGCAGAGUGACCAAGGCUUGGAUUUCAGGUAGAGAACGGAUUCGUCGCGACAGACAGAUCCAAACUCGAGGUUGGAUCCAGACAGUCGGUGUGAAAAUGAAAGCAUUAAGGUGUUUGAUGGACGCUCCACCAGUGGGCCUCUGCUAGGGGAGGCCUGCAGCAAAAAUGACUUCGUGCCUGUGUUUGAGUCAUCGGCCAAUUCACUGACGUUUCAGAUAGUCACUGACUGGACAAGGGUUCAAAGGAGUGUCUUUAUCUUCUACUAUUUCUUUUCCUCUGGUACCACUAUUCCAAACUGCGGUGGUUACCUGCAAACAUUGGAAGGAUCCUUCAGCAGCCCCAAUUAUCCAAGGCCACACCCUGAGCUGGCAUACUGUGUGUGGCACAUACAAGUGGAGAAAGGCU
rnacentral:lncRNA from 1 species